rnacentral:tRNA from 1 species
AACAGUGUGGCUUAGUGGAAAGAGCACUGGCUUGGAAGUCAGAGGUCGUGGGUUCACAUCGCAGCUCUGUCA